UGGGAUAUAGCCAAAGGGCAAGGCGGUGGGUUUUGAACCCAUGAUUAUAGGUUCGAGUCCUAUUAUCCCAA
rnacentral:tRNA from 4 species